GUGAGAGCUAUUAUCAACAGGUAGUCAUUUAACUACCUGUAUAUUUACCUGGUUUGUUUUUGACAGAGCUAAUUUAAAUGAAUGAUAGCUAGCUUGCUUUCCUCAUGUCCAAUGUCCUGAAUGGACUAUUCUAUUUAGGCAUGGGACAUUUUACAUUUAAUACACUAUUUGUUCUUUCUAAUAAAGAUAUUUAUUGAAAAUUUAUUUAUUUUGCUUACAAUCACAAAUAAAUCAUUGCUGGUAAAUCCCACUUUCA
rnacentral:lncRNA from 1 species